AACGCACAUUGUGCCCCUUGGUAUUCCAUGGGGCAUGCUUGUUCGAGCGUCAUUUGUACCCUCAAGCUCUGCUUGGUGUUGGGCGGUUGUCCUUUCUUUGUGUUGGGACUCGCCUUAAAGUCAUUGGCAGCCAGUGUAUUGGUUUGAAGCGCAGCACAAUUUGCGACUCGAACUGGUGAUUACUCGCGUCCAUCAAGUACAAUUAACACUUUUGACCUCGGAUCAGGUAGGGAUACCCGCUGAACUUAA
rnacentral:misc_RNA from 1 species